CAGCCGCCACGGUAAUACGUAGGGUGCAAGCGUUAAUCGGAAUUACUGGGCGUAAAGCGUGCGCAGGCGGUUAUAUAAGACAGAUGUGAAAUCCCCGGGCUCAACCUGGGAACUGCAUUUGUGACUGUAUAGCUAGAGUACGGCAGAGGGGGAUGGAAUUCCGCGUGUAGCAGUGAAAUGCGUAGAUAUGCGGAGGAACACCGAUGGCGAAGGCAAUCCCCUGGGCCUGUACUGACGCUCAUGCACGAAAGCGUGGGGAGCAAACAGGAUUAGAUACCCGCGUAGUCCCUGUCUCUUAUAC
rnacentral:rRNA from 1 species